rnacentral:rRNA from 1 species
AGAGUUCGAUUAUGGCUCAGGACGAACGCUGGCGGCGUGCUUGAUACAUGCAAGUCAAGGAGAACAUUGUCUUCGGAUAAUAAGUAAACUGGCGAACGGGUGAGUAACGCGUAAACAACUUGCCUCAGAGAUUGGGACAACAUUGGGAAACCAGUGCUAAUACCAAAUAAUGCAGCGGGCUCUUCGGAGCACAGUUGUUAAAGUAGGCUUCGGCUUACACUUUGAGAUAGGUUUGCGUCCGAUUAGUUAGUUGGUAGGGUAAAAGCCUACCAAGACCAAGAUCGGUAGCUGGUCUGAGAGGAUGAUCAGCCACACUGGAAUUGAGAUACGGUCCAGACUCCUACGGGAGGCAGCAGUAAGGAAUUUUGCACAAUGGGCGAAAGCCUGAUGCAGCAACGCCGCGUGAACGAUGAAGUUUUUAGGAAUGUAAAGUUCUGUCGUAUGGGAAGAGAUCUUUCGAAUGUUAAUACCAUUCGUUAAUGACGGUACCAUACAAGAAAGCACCGGCUAACUUCGUGCCAGCCGCCGCGGUAAUUC